GAUGAACGCUGGCGGCGUGCCUAAUACAUGCAAGUCGAGCGAACAGACGAGGAGCUUGCUCCUCUGACGUUAGCGGCGGACGGGUGAGUAACACGUGGAUAACCUACCUAUAAGACUGGGAUAACUUCGGGAAACCGGAGCUAAUACCGGAUAAUAUAUUGAACCGCAUGGUUCAAUAGUGAAAGACGGUUUUGCUGUCACUUAUAGAUGGAUCCGCGCCGCAUUAGCUAGUUGGUAAGGUAACGGCUUACCAAGGCGACGAUGCGUAGCCGACCUGAGAGGGUGAUCGGCCACACUGGAACUGAGACACGGUCCAGACUCCUACGGGAGGCAGCAGUAGGGAAUCUUCCGCAAUGGGCGAAAGCCUGACGGAGCAACGCCGCGUGAGUGAUGAAGGUCUUCGGAUCGUAAAGCUCUGUUAUUAGGGAAGAACAAAUGUGUAAGUAACUAUGCACGUCUUGACGGUACCUAAUCAGAAAGCCCCGGCUAACUACGUG
rnacentral:rRNA from 1 species